ACUCAAACUUCGGGGGCACUUUG
rnacentral:miRNA from 1 species